UCUCUGGGUCCACAUUUUGAUACAAGGUCCGACUAUCUCCUCUUUCUUCAUCUUCCUGCCUGGAUAUCUGGGCUGGAGUCAAGGUCCGCAUCCCUGACCUCUUGGCUAUUAACCACGAGCAGUUUUCUUUUGCCUGAAUCCCCACCCCCCACUUCACAUGGGGCUGCCUGCGAACAUGACCUUCUCUGCCUGGGUCCCUCUCUCGUCUCCCUGCCUUGUUUGGAAACCUUUAUUUCAAGGCUCUGCCAGCCUCUGUGGAGCCCCAGGGAAAGCUGAGCCCUGGACAUCUUCUGCUGGGACAUUGUUCUCUCCCAGCUCGCAAAUAUUUAUUUUUCUUCCAUACAAGUAGUACUUAGGAGGCUUGUCUUAUAAUUGCACAAAUUGUAUGUUAUGAAAUCAACAGCAAAGGCAAAUUUUCCUGGAGACAGUUUUCCUGCCCCCAUGUUUUAAAUAAGACCCAGAAAUCAUUGUUUGUAAGACAGAAUAUAAUUUUUACUUAUGAAGGAAUGUUAGUGUCUUUGGGGAACUAACAGAGUCUAAAAUGGGCUUCAAACAGGCUGCCCUAUGUGCCCGGCUCAGCUUUGCUGCCUCAAUGGCUGCUGGGUAUUGUGUUGCCAGAAAGACUACUUAAGGCCUUGAUUAAUGUCACAAAAUGUUAAUGAGGCAAUAUUAAUCACUAUAGAAGUUUACUUGUCAAAAGAAAAAGGGCUGGGGGAGACAGACACUGUUACACGCUCCAAUGCCUCUUUUUUUCCUUUCUUCUUAUUUUAAAAUCAUUCUCAGGACUAAAAGGGAAUUCAUCUCCACUCCCACAACUGGGUCACUGGCUCUACUAACUCCAGCAGUGCUGGGGAUCGAAUCCACACUUCCACAUAUGAAGCAAGUGUCUGAGCUACAACCCAAGACUCCUGUGUUAGAUUUUCCUUUUGCAUUAUGUUUGCAAUCUGUUUGGUUUUGCUUUACUUUUUUGAGACACGGUCUCCCCGUGUAGAGUCACCAUCCUCCUGCCUCGGCCUAUGACCGGCUAUUUCACGGUCUUUUAUCCUUAAAAGUCUUUUGAGACAAGGAGGCUAGGGAGAUGGAGCAGAGGUGGAGAGCACUUAUUGCUCGCCCAGACGACCCGAGUUUGUUCCGUUCCCUGCAGCUCACAACCCCCUGUGACUCCAGCUCCAGGUGAUCCAAUUCCUCUGGCAUCCGUGAACAAUGCACUCAUAUGCACGCAUUCACACAGAACGUCUUAAAAAGAGUGAAGAAUUGGUUAUAUAGCAAGAAAACAAGCAUCUGGGGGUGAAGCCAGAGCCAGAGGCUGCCAUGAAGCCUCUGAGAUCAGCAAGACACUGUCUUUGCAAGGAGAUAACUCCUUGGCAAGCGCCUUUCCUUGACUGAUAAGGACCUGAGAAUUGCAGUUCCCAGUAAACUUUUCCACCAGCUAGAGGACAGCUGAGAGUCACUCAGCUUUCCAAACAAAGGCUUGGUGGGGAACGGGAACCGAGGAAACAAGAAUUCAGCUGCAGAUGCGAAAGUCCGGGAUUAUUCUCCUAAGUGAGGAGUUUACAAACAGGAAGCUAAGAAAGAAAAAGCUAAGAAAAAAGUCUGCAUUUGAAGUUGUAAUAACAUUUGGAUCGAAAUGUAGGCAUUUUCAAAACUUUCAUCUUAAUUUUAAGCCUUUCUCACAUGUGUCUUUGUUAUAUUUUAUGGUUUGCCAUGCUAAGGGCUGAAUCUGGGUUUAAAUAUAAACUAAAAACAUGCUCUACCACGGAAGUAUAUGUCCAGACCAUCUCUUCAUCUUUCUGUUCUUUUUGGGGACAAGGUCUUCCUAAGUUGCUUAGGUUGGCCUUGAACUUGCUGUGCCUUGAAUUUCUGCUCCUCCUGCCUAGUCCUCCAGAGUAGGCGGGGUUAAAGCAGUGGUUCUUAAACUUUCUAAUGCUGCACCCCCAACCAUAGAAUUGUUUUCAUUACUACAUCAUAACUGUAUUCUUGUUACCGUUAUGAAUCGUUAGUGUGAUAGUGUGACCCUGUGAAAGGAAUGUUCGACCUCCUCUCCAAGGGGUCUCAGCCCACAAGUUGAGACCUGCUGGUUUAAAGAUGAAGGCCUUGGUGGCCUUUACUCAUCAGUACCUCUGUCAAAGAAACCACGUGAGAGCAAACGAAACUGUAAUCUAGAUUUCCACUUCCAUUUCCCACCUGAAGUCCCCCUCUUCUGAUCUCCACUGAGUUCCUUUUUCAUUUUAAAAGGAAAAGAAACUCUGCAUCACAAUGAAACAUGCAUGAACUAAAAGUUACGGUGUAAAAGACACAGCAGGACGUGCUCACAGAAACCAGGCAGGCAUGGCAGAGACCUGCCCAGGGUUCCACAUUCUGUAAAACAGGGAAUAAAUAAUAAACCUGCUGGAGGUGGCAGAACAGGCCUACAGUCCCAGAACCCCUGAGCCUGAGAUGGGGACCCUGUUCCAGGUCAGCUGAGCUACAGAGUGAGCUGGAGGCCGGCCUAGGUUUAUAGACCGAAACCCUGACUGCGAGAACAAAAGCAAAACAAAAAUAACAAAGCCCCAACAGCUGUCCCGUAGGGCUGGCUGCUGCUGGGAUCACCGCUGAGAUCCUGCCACGCACCCACGAGGAAGAAGUGUUAUCAUCUUCAGUAGAAAGACAUUGUAAGGACCCGUUUCAUGAUCACAGUUUCAUCAUGAGAAAGAAUUCAGUUUAAAUGCUGGGAUCCAGGACGAGGCAGAACCCCGGGGAUCAUGUUCCAAGAAGGCUCUGCUGCCUUCGUCAACACUCCAUGAGAAAAGACACUCGACAGCCAACGUUAAGCCAUUUCCCUCUCCGGAGGUUCAGAAAAAUUGGAAAUAAGCUUCAAAGCCCUUCCGGAAGCACAACCCUGUGCAAAACGCAACAAAUCAUACUCUCCCCAUUCGAAAGACGAGAACAGCUGAGGUUCAAAGACACCCCCAACGUGUAGUCAUUGGUCCUUACAAGUUCGGAAGGCAAGCUUUUCUUUUUAACCAAGUCUAGUGCCUGGAAGCUGGAACAAGGCGUCCCCUGCUCAUACUCUUCCGGUAUCUGUUGAACGUUCCCCCUUCAGCCCUUUGGUUCCAGACAUCUUCCCCGUUUCUCUUUUCUCAACUCCAGCCCAUGCUUCAACUCCCCUAACUAAUGAAUGAGAUAGGGGGCAGAGGAGAGCUAUUAGUCAGUGGCUAAGAGCACUCGCUGCUCUUGCAGAAGAGCCACGUUCAGAUCUCAGCUCUCACCAGGUGGCUCACAACCACCCUUAACUCCAGUUUCAGGGAAAUCUGACGUCCUCGUCUGUCCUCGCAGAUGGUGCCGGUAUGUAAAUGCAAACCUAACAAGUAGGCAAAACAUCCAUACUCAUAAAAUAAAAUAAACCUUAAAAAGUAAAAUAAAAGGGACUUAAGUAAAUCUGCAUUUAGCUCCGGUAUUCUAUUUAUUGAGCAUCAACCAGGAGCCAGAUCUAUGAAGGAUCGAAGCUGAGAGAAACUGAAUCUUCAACGAUUUGAAAACAUCACAUAGAAGCCAGGCAUGUGGGAACAUGCCUCUGAUCCGGCACGUGAGAGGUGGAGGCGUCAGAAUCAGGAACGUGAGGCCAGCCUGGGCUACACGAGACCCUAUUUCAAAACAACACAAAACUAAAAAGACCGCUUUAUCAAGGGGAAUCAAUUAUCUAAACACGGCACUCAGAAUGCCAGUUCCUACUGGAAUUCCUAGGUAAAUGCGCGUGUAAAUCCUGGAACUAGUUAAACUUCAAGCAACUUCAGUAAGAACAGCUUGGAAAAUGCCUCUGUACAGACUUGAUUUCUAAUUGUGGUGAAGCUUCAUUCAUUCCUUAAACCACUUAUUCAACAUUAACUCAUUCUCCAAACUUGUAUCUGCUAGGCUCUGGGAGUAAGGCAGGCCCAGCAGUCUUCAAUCAAAGGAGUGCCCUAGUUCACCAAGACAGUCCCGCACUCAGCCCGUCUCAAAGCCCUCAGCCUGGGGCGAGAGCUUCCGGUCUCCUCCACAGCCACAUUGGCCUUCUUUCAUUUCUUAGAGCUCUGUCCCCUUCCUCCCUC